CCUACGGGUGGCAGCAGUAGGGAAUUUUCGUCAAUGGGCGCAAGCCUGAACGAGCGAUGCCGCGUGAGUGAUGAAGGCCUUCGGGUCGUAAAGCUCUGUUGCGGGGGAAAAAAGGCAGCAUCAGUAAAUGGGUGCUGACUGAUGGUGCCCCUCCAGACAGUCCCGGCUAACUACGUGCCAGCAGCCGCGGUAAUACGUAGGUGGCGAGCGUUAUCCGGAAUGAUUGGGCGUAAAGGGUGCGCAGGCGGUCCUGCAAGUCUGGAGUGAAACGGAUGAGCUCAACUCCUGCAGGGCUUUGGAGACUGGAGGAGUGGAGAGGAGGAGAGGGCGGUGGAACUCCAUGUGUAGCGGUAGAAU
rnacentral:rRNA from 1 species